rnacentral:misc_RNA from 1 species
UCUCCGUUGGUGAACCAGCGGAGGGAUCGUUACAGGACUCGCAAGACUCCUUCACCCUGUGAACCUCACUACAAGCACGUUGCUUCGGCGGGUGUCCCGGCGGGGGUUUUCCCUCGCCGGGGCGCACAGCCCGCCGGCAGCCUGCUAUACUCUGUCUCUUUGCGUUGGCAUCUCGAGAAAAAACAAACAAGUUAAAACUUUCAACAACGGAUCUCUUGGUUCUG